UGCAGAAUCCCGUGAACCAUCGAGUCUUUGAACGCAAGUUGCGCCCGAAGCUUCUAGGCCGAGGGCACGCCUGCCUGGGCGUCA
rnacentral:rRNA from 1 species